AAGUCGUAACAAGGUUUCCGUAGGUGAACCUGCGGAAGGAUCAUUUCCAAAUUACCUCAUUUUUUCGUGUUAAACGUUUUGUGACGAGUUGUUGUUUUGAAUAAGAAUUGCAAUCAAUCACAAAAACGAUGCACGAAAAAAUUAAACAAACAAACACCAAUUUUAUUCUAAAAGACUCAAGUCUAACAUACUUUGCAUUUUUUUACACAAAAAAUGAUAACAAAAUACAACUUUUAACAACGGAUCACUUGGCUCUC
rnacentral:misc_RNA from 1 species